rnacentral:misc_RNA from 1 species
UUAAGUUCAGCGGGUAUCCCUACCUGAUCCGAGGUCAAGCGUAAAGUUAUAGGCUUGUGGACGCCGCCGCACCCAGCGGAGAGCGCAAAAUGUGCUGCGCUCUCACACGGGACGGCUGGCUGCCAAUGCAUUUGAGGCGAGUUCACGCGCGCGGCGGAACAAAACGCCCAACACCCAGCAGGGCUGGAGGGUACAAAUGA